CUAGGCCUCUCCUCUCACAGACAAUAUCAUAUAGGCCUCUCCUCUCACAGACAAUAUCAUAUAGGCCUCUCCUCUCACAGACAAUAUCAUAUAGGCCUCUC